CCCUUAGACGUUCUGGGCCGCACGCGCGCUACACUGACCAGUGCAACAAGCAUCCGUCCUUGGCCGACAGGCCCGGGCAAUCUUUGAACGCUGGUCGUGAUGGGGAUAGACUUUUGCAAUUUUUGGUCUUCAACGAGGAAUUCCUAGUAAACGCAAGUCAUCAACUUGCAUUGAUUACGUCCCUGCCCUUUGUACACACCGCCCGUCGCACCCACCGAUUGAAUGGUCCGGUGAAGCCUCCGGAUUGGCGCGCACCUCGGUGCCGCCGAGAAGUUGGCUAAACCUUACCAUUUAGAGGAAGGUGAAGUCGUAACA
rnacentral:rRNA from 1 species